GACGAACGCUGGCGGCGUGCUUAACACAUGCAAGUCGAACGGUGACGGAGAGCUUGCUCUCCUGAUCAGUGGCGAACGGGUGAGUAACACGUGGGCAACCUGCCCCUGACUUCGGGAUAACGCUUCGAAAGAGGUGCUAAUACCGAAUAUGAACUCUUCAGGCAUCUGCGGAGUUGGAAAGUUUUUCGGUCAGGGAUGGGCCCGCGGCCUAUCGGCUUGUUGGUGAGGUAAUGGCUCACCAAGGCGACGACGGGUAGCCGGCCUGAGAGGGCGACCGGCCACACUGGGACUGAGACACGGCCCAGACUCCUACGGGAGGCAGCAGUGGGGAAUAUUGCGCAAUGGGCGAAAGCCUGACGCAGCAACGCCGCGUGGGGGAUGAAGGCCUUCGGGUUGUAAACCCCUUUCAGCAGGGAAGAAGCGAAAGUGACGGUACCUGCAGAAGAAGCACCGGCUAACUACGUGCCAGCCGCCGCCGUAAGAC
rnacentral:rRNA from 1 species